UAAACGGGACGACCCGUUUACGCGUCAUUUUAUCGGGGACGACCCCA
rnacentral:ncRNA from 1 species